rnacentral:rRNA from 1 species
GACGAACGCUGGCGGCGUGCUUAACACAUGCAAGUCGAACGGAAAGGCCCUGCUUUUGUGGGGUGCUCGAGUGGCGAACGGGUGAGUAACACGUGAGUAACCUGCCCUUGACUUUGGGAUAACUUCAGGAAACUGGGGCUAAUACCGGAUAGGAGCUCCUGCUGCAUGGUGGGGGUUGGAAAGUUUCGGCGGUUGGGGAUGGACUCGCGGCUUAUCAGCUUGUUGGUGGGGUAGUGGCUUACCAAGGCUUUGACGGGUAGCCGGCCUGAGAGGGUGACCGGCCACAUUGGGACUGAGAUACGGCCCAGACUCCUACGGGAGGCAGCAGUGGGGAAUAUUGCACAAUGGGCGGAAGCCUGAUGCAGCAGCGCCGCGUGCGGGAUGACGGCCUUCGGGUUGUAAACCGCUUUCGCCUGUGACGAAGCGUGAGUGACGGUAAUGAGUAAAGAAGCACCGGCUAACUACGUG